rnacentral:other from 1 species
UAGGAAUGAGUUAUGUCAGAUCGAGUUACAGGUAAGGUUAAAUUUUUCAACGAAUCAAAAGGCUUCGGUUUUAUCGAGCAAAACGGUGGUCCAGAUGUAUUCGUACAUUUCAGCGCCAUCCAGUCAGAGGGUUUUAAAACUCUAGCUGAAGGUCAAGAAGUUGAGUUCACUAUUGGCCAAGGUCAAAAAGGACCACAAGCUGAGCAGGUUGUUCCUCGAUAGGACAUAACUCAGAGUUAAUCCCACAAACCCGCUUUCGCUUUGCGAAUGCGGGUUUGU